GUUGCUGGGCGACAAGUCCCGCCCCGCAGGCGGCACCGGAAGUGGCAGGCCGGGAUCAGCCUUUAAGAUGGCGUCUCCUCAGGGGGGCCAGAUUGCGAUCGCGAUGAGGCUUCGGAACCAGCUCCAGUCAGUGUACAAGAUGGACCCGCUACGGAACGAGGAGGAGGUCCGAGUAAAGAUCAAAGACUUGAAUGAGCACAUCGUCUGCUGUCUGUGCGCCGGCUACUUCGUGGAUGCUACCACCAUCACAGAGUGUCUUCAUACUUUCUGCAAGAGUUGUAUUGUGAAAUAUCUCCAAACCAGUAAGUACUGCCCCAUGUGCAACAUCAAGAUCCACGAGACACAGCCACUGCUCAACCUCAAACUGGACCGGGUCAUGCAGGACAUCGUGUACAAGCUAGUGCCUGGCUUACAAGACAGUGAAGAGAAACGGAUUCGAGAAUUCUACCAGUCUCGGGGCUUGGACCGAGUCACCCAGCCCAGUGGGGAAGAGCCAGCCCUGAGCAACCUCGGCCUCCCUUUCAGCAGCUUUGACCACUCUAAAGCCCACUACUAUCGAUAUGAUGAGCAGCUGAGUCUAUGCCUGGAGCGGCUGAGUUCUGGCAAGGACAAGAAUAAAAGCAUCCUGCAGAACAAAUAUGUUCGAUGUUCUGUUAGAGCUGAAGUUCGUCAUCUCCGGAGGGUCUUAUGUCACCGCUUAAUGCUAAAUCCCCAGCACGUACAGCUCCUUUUUGACAAUGAAGUUCUCCCAGAUCACAUGACCAUGAAGCAGAUAUGGCUCUCCCGCUGGUUCGGCAAGCCAUCCCCUUUGCUUUUACAAUACAGUGUGAAAGAGAAAAGAAGAAAUCCUCUGACUUUCAUCAUGAAAGAGGGUCUCUCUAUGCCCGUGGCCCCUCAGUGAAUUGCCAAAAGGAGAAGGGUAGAGAACCCUAUACAUGUAAAACUCAGAAGGUCCCGGUCUCAACCUUUCGUUUACAAGGGCCCCCACUCUAAUCUGCCCUCUGUCCUCGGCCCGUCUGCUGGGACUUCCAUCUUCCAAUCCUCACCUGCCCUCCGCUAGUUCCCAGGCUCCGCGGCCGCUCCUGGAAGCCGCCAGCGCCGAGGGGAAGGGCUGGUCUGCGGAGAACUGAGUGACCCGUUGGCUCGUUCGCUGUAGGCGGGGCAAUCGCGACACAGACCGGUGAGGAGGAGACAAAAGGCUUGAGCCGGAGGCUGUAAAAGAAUGAACUAGGGCAAGGGCGCUGCAGAAAGUGCUGGGAGGCUCGGCUCGGUCUCUUCGGGUGACCUAGCUCCGCUCCACGCGUUCUCUUCAGGAACCCGGACAAGAGCAGUGGGUCCUAGGGGCGGCAAGGGUCGGGGGACUACGGACGUCGCCUCUCCUUACACUUUGAAUCCCCACUACCUCCUUUUGGGGUCGAGGCGGUGGUUCCCGUGUCAUUAAAAAAUCGUAAACCAA